UACGUAGGGUGCGAGCGUUGUCCGGAAUUACUGGGCGUAAAGAGCUCGUAGGCGGUGUGUCGCGUCGGCCGUGAAAACCUGCAGCUUAACUGUGGGCUUGCGGUCGAUACGGGCAUCACUGGAGUCGGCAGGGGAGACUGAAUUCCUGGGUGUAGCGGUGAAAUGCGCAGAUAUCAGGGAGGAACCACCGGUGGCGAAAGCAGGUACCUGGACCAUUACUGACACUCGAGCUGCGGAAAGCUA
rnacentral:rRNA from 1 species